rnacentral:siRNA from 1 species
UGGAUUUGCUAGAGUCUUCUUCAA